rnacentral:tRNA from 1 species
GAAGGUAGAGCUCAGUGGUAGAGCACAUGUUUAGUUUAGCAUGCUUAAGGUCCUGGGUUCAAUCUCCAGUACCUCCA